CAGUCGCCACGGUAAUACGAGGGGGGCAAGCGUUGUUCGGAAUUAUUGGGCGUAAAGGGUGCGUAGGCGGUUUGGCAAGUUUGGUGUGAAAUCUUCGGGCUCAACUCGAAGUCUGCACCGAAAACUGCCGGGCUUGAGUAUGGGAGAGGUGAGUGGAAUUUCCGGUGUAGCGGUGAAAUGCGUAGAUAUCGGAAGGAACACCUGUGGCGAAAGCGGCUCACUGGACCAUUGCUGACGCUGAGGCGCGAAAGCUAGGGGAGCAAACAGGAUUAGAUACCCGUGUAGUCCCUGUCUCUUAUAC
rnacentral:rRNA from 1 species